UACAUCCUUUGACUGGAUUUUGCAUACUAAUCUUUUCUACUAGCUCUAAAGACCUUUGAACUUGACAGAACGCUGUCAAUGUCCCCCCCAUAGAUUUCCCGUCUGGGUGAAGCUCACAAUUCUUACAGAUAUUAAAACUAUUUCCAACUUAAUUCUGCAGCUCUCUCCUAGGAGACUCAUAACUUCCAAGCUGUUCCACUGUUACCUGGGACAUGAAGUAUGUGCACAAUUAAUGUUUGGUCACGUAUUGCCACGGCUGAGUAUGCGAAUGGAUAUCAGAAGCUUAAGCAAUUAGCCAAGUAGGAACUGGCAAUCACCAGGAGUGAAAGGACCAGAAUGGUUGCUGGGAUCUUGGCUGCAUUUCCAGGGACUGUGUUUCCUGGGUCCCCUCCCGAUCUUGCAGCAAAGUGUGACCACGUGACUCAGCUCUCAUCAAAGGAAUAUGCGCAGAAAUGUUGGGAGCAGCUUCCGAUUCACCCGUGUAAGAGGAAAUCUCUGGUCCUAGACUCAAUCUUUCUCCCUUUCUUGCACUCUGGCUUGGCCACAACUUGGGCAACUUUGGAAACCAUGUGUUGAAGAACUGCCAUUGGCCAGCCUGGAAUGUGGGCAAACCCACCUGGAAUUCCCAAACUGGACUGUAAAUGCGCAAGACAUAAAGACAUUUAAUCAAUC